AUGAGCAAAUCAUUGAGUCCAAGAUACCGUGUGUUGUCCAGAUAUGAAAAGGAAUAUUUGGCCAUUGUGGUAGGCAUAGAGCAAUGACGCCCAUAUUUGCAGCAUGCAGAAUUUGUUAUUCAAAAAGACCAGAAAAUAUUGAUUCACCUAGAAGAGUAGCGUUUGUCCACUCCAUGGCAGCAGAAGGCAUUCACCAAGCUAUUGGGUUUGCAAUACUGCAUCAUAUGUAAAAAGGUCCAGAGAAUGGCGCCGCAGAUGCUCUCUCAAGAUCGCUUCCUUUUGAGAAACUCUAUAGUUUUUUCAGCUCAGCCAACAUGGUUGAAAGAAGUAAUCAACAGUUAUAAUGCCAACCCCCACGCAGUGGCGAUUCCACUAGGGGGGCUUCAAUAG
rnacentral:rRNA from 1 species